AUGCCGGGGACGGCAGCGGCGGCGAUGGGUUGUGGCACCAACCGUGCAGGCUCGUCGCGCUGCACCACUGCACAGCCAUUCUCUUCCUUUCUCAGCCUCGCCUCACCACCGCACCCUCCGGAUAAAAUCGCGAGGGAAAGGUCCACAUCGGCCAGAUCACGACCGCCACGAGUCAAACCGCAAAGCCUGACAUCCAGGCCCGCGCAAAAUCUUCGUUCGCUGCUUCUACAAGUCGCCUCGAGUCAACACUCUUCACCAGAUCUCGCCGCCGCGUCCUCCAUGCCGUCGUCGCACCAUCACCACCACCAUUGCCUUGUCCUCCUCCUCCUCUUCCUUGUUGCCGUCACACUCUCCGCCGUCGCGGCACUCGGAGGAGGAGAAGAGGCGGCCUGCGACGCGGAGUCCCCGCAGGAGGAGGACCUGCGGCCGGACCGGCUCACGGUGCUCCUGAGCGGCUACUCGGAGCGGCGGCUCCCGCUCCUCCGCGCCAUCGCGGGAGCCUACGCCGCACACCCGCUCGUCCUCGCCGUCGUCGUGCUCUGGUGCAACCCCUCCACGCCGGACGACCGCCUCCUCCUCCCGCGCUUCCCGCCGGGCGUGUCCCUCCACCGCACCGCCUCGGCCUCCCUCAACUCCCGGUUCCUCCCGCACCCGUCCAUCCGCACCGCCGCAGUGGCCGUCGCCGACGACGACGUCCUCCCCAACGCCGCCGCGAUCUCCUUCGCGUUCGUCGCCUGGCAGCAGCGGGCCGCCCGCCCAGGCACCCUCGUUGGCUUCUUUCCGAGGUCCCACCACCUGGACCUCGCCCGCGGGAGGUGGGCGUACACCGCGCCGCAGCCCGGCCGCUAUUCCAUGGUGCUCACCAAGUUCCUCGUCCUCGGCGUGGACCUCCUCCGGAAGUACUCCUGCUCCCCGGAGCUCGCGGCGGCGCGCGCCGUGGUGGACCGGGAGCGCAACUGCGAGGACAUCCUCAUGAACUUCGUGGCCGCCGAGGUGUCCGGGGAAGGGCCGGUGCUGGUGGAGGCCGGCAGCAUCAGGGACUGGGGCGACCCGAGGAACGACGCCAACACUGGCACCGGCGUGGAGGGCGGCGACGCGGCGAUGAAGGCCGUGGGGCUGAGCUCGAGAGGCGGCGUGGGGCACUGGGAGAAGCGAGGGGAGUGCAUCACGCAGUUCCACCGGCUGCUAGGGAGGAUGCCGCUGCGGUACAGCUACGGGAAGGUGGUGGAGGCGGCCGUCGCCGAGCAGGGACUGUGUAGCAAAGGUGGCCGUCUCGUCCGGUGCGACCAGGAGUAG
rnacentral:rRNA from 1 species